GGUUAAGCGACUAAGCGUACACGGUGGAUGCCCUGGCAGUCAGAGGCGAUGAAGGACGUGCUAAUCUGCGAAAAGCGUCGGUAAGGUGAUAUGAACCGUUAUAACCGGCGAUGUCCGAAUGGGGAAACCCAGUGCAAUUCGUUGCACUAUCGUUAACUGAAUACAUAGGUUAACGAGGCGAACCGGGGGAACUGAAACAUCUAAGUACCCCGAGGAAAAGAAAUCAACCGAGAUUCCCCCAGUAGCGGCGAGCGAACGGGGAGCAGCCCAGAGUCUGAAUCAGCUUGUGUGUUAGUGGAACGGUCUGGAAAGUCCGACGGUACAGGGUGAUAGUCCCGUACACCAAAAUGCACAGGUUGUGAACUCGAAGAGUAGGGCGGGACACGUGGUAUCCUGUCUGAAUAUGGGGGGACCAUCCUCCAAGGCUAAAUACUCCUGACUGACCGAUAGUGAACCAGUACCGUGAGGGAAAGGCGAAAAGAACCCCGGCGAGGGGAGUGAAAAAGAACCUGAAACCGUGUACGUACAAGCAGUGGGAGCACCUUCGGGUGUGACUGCGUACCUUUUGUAUAAUGGGUCAGCGACUUAUAUUCUGUAGCAAGGUUAACCGUAUAGGGGAGCCGCAGGGAAACCGAGUCUUAACUGGGCGUUAAGUUGCAGGGUAUAGACCCGAAACCCGGUGAUCUAGCCAUGGGCAGGUUGAAGGUUGGGUAACACUAACUGGAGGACCGAACCGACUAAUGUUGAAAAAUUAGCGGAUGACUUGUGGCUGGGGGUGAAAGGCCAAUCAAACCGGGAGAUAGCUGGUUCUCCCCGAAAGCUAUUUAGGUAGCGCCUCGUGAACUCAUCUUCGGGGGUAGAGCACUGUUUCGGCUAGGGGGUCAUCCCGACUUACCAACCCGAUGCAAACUACGAAUACCGAAGAAUGUUAUCACGGGAGACACACGGCGGGUGCUAACGUCCGUCGUGAAGAGGGAAACAACCCAGACCGCCAGCUAAGGUCCCAAAGUCAUGGUUAAGUGGGAAACGAUGUGGGAAGGCACAGACAGCCAGGAUGUUGGCUUAGAAGCAGCCAUCAUUUAAAGAAAGCGUAAUAGCUCACUGGUCGAGUCGGCCUGCGCGGAAGAUGUAACGGGGCUAAACCAUGCACCGAAGCUGCGGCAGCGACACUAUGUGUUGUUG
rnacentral:rRNA from 1 species